AAUAGCUCACUAGUCGAGUCGGCCUGCGCGGAAGAUGUAACGGGGCUCAAACCACACACCGAAGCUGCGGGUGUCACGUAAGUGACGCGGUAGAGGAGCGUUCUGUAAGCCUGUGAAGGUGAGUUGAGAAGCUUGCUGGAGGUAUCAGAAGUGCGAAUGCUGACAUGAGUAACGACAAUGGGUGUGAAAAACACCCACGCCGAAAGACCAAGGGUUCCUGCGCAACGUUAAUCGACGCAGGGUUAGUCGGUUCCUAAGGCGAGGCUGAAAAGCGUAGUCGAUGGGAAACAGGUUAAUAUUCCUGUACUUCUGGUUACUGCGAUGGAGGGACGGAGAAGGCUAGGCCAGCUUGGCGUUGGUUGUCCAAGUUUAAGGUGGUAGGCUGAAAUCUUAGGUAAAUCCGGGGUUUCAAGGCCGAGAGCUGAUGACGAGUCGUCUUUUAGAUGACGAAGUGGUUGAUGCCAUGCUUCCAAGAAAAGCUUCUAAGCUUCAGGUAACCAGGAACCGUACCCCAAACCGACACAGGUGGUCGGGUAGAGAAUACCAAGGCGCUUGAGAGAACUCGGGUGAAGGAACUAGGCAAAAUGGCACCGUAACUUCGGGAGAAGGUGCGCCGGCUAGGGUGAAGGAUUUACUCCGUAAGCUCUGGCUGGUCGAAGAUACCAGGCCGCUGCGACUGUUUAUUAAAAACACAGCACUCUGCAAACACGAAAGUGGACGUAUAGGGUGUGACGCCUGCCCGGUGCCGGAAGGUUAAUUGAUGGGGUUAGCGCAAGCGAAGCUCUUGAUCGAAGCCCCGGUAAACGGCGGCCGUAACUAUAACGGUCCUAAGGUAGCGAAAUUCCUUGUCGGGUAAGUUCCGACCUGCACGAAUGGCGUAACGAUGGCGGCGCUGUCUCCACCCGAGACUCAGUGAAAUUGAAAUCGCUGUGAAGAUGCAGUGUAUCCGCGGCUAGACGGAAAGACCCCGUGAACCUUUACUGUAGCUUUGCACUGGACUUUGAGCCUGCUUGUGUAGGAUAGGUGGGAGGCUUUGAAGCGUGGACGCCAGUUCGCGUGGAGCCAUCCUUGAAAUACCACCCUGGCAUGCUUGAGGUUCUAACUCUGGUCCGUGAUCCGGAUCGAGGACAGUGUAUGGUGGGCAGUUUGACUGGGGCGGUCUCCUCCUAAAGAGUAACGGAGGAGUACGAAGGUGCGCUCAGACCGGUCGGAAAUCGGUCGCAGAGUAUAAAGGCAAAAGCGCGCUUGACUGCGAGACAGACACGUCGAGCAGGUACGAAAGUAGGUCUUAGUGAUCCGGUGGUUCUGUAUGGAAGGGCCAUCGCUCAACGGAUAAAAGGUACUCCGGGGAUAACAGGCUGAUACCGCCCAAGAGUUCAUAUCGACGGCGGUGUUUGGCACCUCGAUGUCGGCUCAUCACAUCCUGGGGCUGAAGCCGGUCCCAAGGGUAUGGCUGUUCGCCAUUUAAAGUGGUACGCGAGCUGGGUUUAGAACGUCGUGAGACAGUUCGGUCCCUAUCUGCCGUGGACGUUUGAGAUUUGAGAGGGGCUGCUCCUAGUACGAGAGGACCGGAGUGGACGAACCUCUGGUGUUCCGGUUGUCACGCCAGUGGCAUUGCCGGGUAGCUAUGUUCGGAAAAGAUAACCGCUGAAAGCAUCUAAGCGGGAAACUUGCCUCAAGAUGAGAUCUCACUGGGAACUUGAUUCCCCUGAAGGGCCGUCGAAGACUACGACGUUGAUAGGCUGGGUGUGUAAGCGUUGUGAGGCGUUGAGCUAACCAGUACUAAUUGCCCGUGAGGCUUGACC
rnacentral:rRNA from 1 species